UACGUCGGGUGCGAGCGUUAAUCGGAAUUACUGGGCGUAAAGCGUGCGCAGGCGGUUUUGUAAGUCUGUCGUGAAAUCCCCGGGCUCAACCUGGGAAUUGCGAUGGAGACUGCAAGGCUAGAAUCUGGCAGAGGGGGGUAGAAUUCCACGUGUAGCAGUGAAAUGCGUAGAGAUGUGGAGGAACACCGAUGGCGAAGGCAGCCCCCUGGGUCAAGAUUGACGCUCAUGCACGAAAGCGUGGGGAGCAAACAGG
rnacentral:rRNA from 1 species